rnacentral:rRNA from 1 species
CCUACGGGUGGCAGCAGUGGGGAAUAUUGGGCAAUGGGCGCAAGCCUGACCCAGCAACGCCGCGUGAAGGAAGAAGGCUUUCGGGUUGUAAACUUCUUUUCUCAGGGACGAAGCAAGUGACGGUACCUGAGGAAUAAGCCACGGCUAACUACGUGCCAGCAGCCGCGGUAAUACGUGGGUGGCAAGCGUUAUCCGGAUUUACUGGGUGUAAAUGGCGUGUAGGCGGGGACGUAAGUCAGAUGUGAAAACCACGGGCUCAACCUGUGGCCUGCAUUUGAAACUGUGUUUCUUGAGUACUGGAGAGGCAGACGGAAUUCCUAGUGUAGCGGUGAAAUGCGUAGAUAUUAGGAGGAACACCAGUGGCGAAGGCAGCAUACCGGCGCCCAACUGACGCUGAAGCACGAAAGCGUGGGUAUCGAACAGGAUUAGAUACCCGAGUAGUC